rnacentral:rRNA from 1 species
AAGGGACGGGGGGGUGCUAUAAUGCAAGUCGACGCGUUGGCCCAAUUGAUUGAUGGUGCUUGCACCUGAUUGAUUUUGGUUGCCAACGAGUGGCGGACGGGUGAGUAACACGUAGGUAACCUGCCCAGAAGCGGGGGACAACAUUUGGAAACAGAUGCUAAUACCGCAUAACAGCGUUGUUCGCAUGAACAACGCUUAAAAGAUGGCUUCUCGCUAUCACUUCUGGAUGGACCUGCGGUGCAUUAGCUUGUUGGUGGGGUAACGGCCUACCAAGGCGAUGAUGCAUAGCCGAGUUGAGAGACUGAUCGGCCACAAUGGGACUGAGACACGGCCCAUACUCCUACGGGAGGCAGCAGUAGGGAAUCUUCCACAAUGGGCGCAAGCCUGAUGGAGCAACACCGCGUGAGUGAAGAAGGGUUUCGGCUCGUAAAGCUCUGUUGUUAAAGAAGAACACGUAUGAGAGUAACUGUUCAUACGUUGACGGUAUUUAACCAGAAAGUCACGGCUAACUACGUGCCAGCAGCCGCGGUAAUACGUAGGUGGCAAGCGUUAUCCGGAUUUAUUGGGCGUAAAGAGAGUGCAGGCGGUUUUCUAAGUCUGAUGUGAAAGCCUUCGGCUUAACCGGAGAAGUGCAUCGGAAACUGGAUAACUUGAGUGCAGAAGAGGGUAGUGGAACUCCAUGUGUAGCGGUGGAAUGCGUAGAUAUAUGGAAGAACACCAGUGGCGAAGGCGGCUACCUGGUCUGCAACUGACGCUGAGACUCGAAAGCAUGGGUAGCGAACAGGAUUAGAUACCCUGGUAGUCCAUGCCGUAAACGAUGAGUGCUAGGUGUUGGAGGGUUUCCGCCCUUCAGUGCCGGAGCUAACGCAUUAAGCACUCCGCCUGGGGAGUACGACCGCAAAGGUUGAAACUCAAAGGAAUUGACGGGGGCCCGCACAAGCGGGUGGAGCAUGUGGUUUAAAUUCGAGCUACGCGAAGAACCUUACCAGUCUUGACAUCUUGCGCCAACCCUAGAGAUAGGCGUUUCUUCGGACGCAUGACAGUGGUGCAUGGUCGUCGUCAGCUCGUGUUCAUGAGAUGUUGGGUAGUUCCCGCACGACGCAACCUUGUUACUAGUGGCAGCAUUAGUUGGUACUCUAAUGGAACCUGCGGUGACCAACCUGAGAUGUGGACGACGUCGAUCAUCAUGCCUCUAAUGACCUUGGGCAUUAC